rnacentral:rRNA from 1 species
CGACAAGCUCGGCGUAAAGUGUGGUUAAUGAGAACUUUCAACUAAAGCCAAACAACCUCAAAGCUGUAUAAAGCGCUAGCAUGAGAACUGGAGGCCCCCCCACGAAAGUGGCUUUAACAAUUAUGACACCACGAAAGCUAGGGAA